AGAAUCGCUUGAACCCGGGAGGCGGAGGUUGCAGUGAGCUGAGGUUGCAGUGAGCUGAGGUCGCACCACUGCAUGCCAGCCUGGGCGACAGAGAGAGACUCCAUCUCAAAAAAUGAAUGAAUAAAUAAGUAAAUAAAAUAAAAAAUUAGGCGGGUGUGGUGGCGCAUGCCUGUAGUUCCAGCUAUGCGGACGGCUGAGGUGGGAAGCCCAUAGGUUGAGGCUGCAGUGAAAGCCAUGAUCGCGCCACUGCACUCCAGCCUACGUGACAGAGUGAGACCCUGCCUUAAACAAACAAACAAACAAACAAACAAAACAAAGACUAUGUGGGAAACAAAGAGCUUACUCAGGGAAGAAUAUUGAAGUGCAGCAUUAAAAAUACCCAUUUAUGUGUGAGGGAAGAGUUCUGUAGGAGAUGCAAAGUAUAAGACAAUACAGGAAUACAUGAGAUGCUAAAUAACAGUUCCAGGAAGCCACUGAGGCCCAAGGCAGGUCAAGGUGAGGUGCCAAGUAGCACUGAUGGACAUUGUGUGUAGAAUUCAGAGGAAAAGGUCAUUUUCAUGAGGAUGCUUAGGAAAGACUUUGAUAGCAGAGGUAGGAUUUGGAUCAGGUUUUGUAGGAUGGAUAGGAUUUAGAUAGAAGUGCCUAUGAAUAUUCUGUGAUUGGAAGGAUGGUGCCAAGACGUGGAGUAAGAACCUGACAGUUGGCCGGGUGUGGUGACUCACACCUGUAAUCCCAGCAUUUUGGGAGGCUGAGGCGGGUGGAUCACUUGAGGCCAGGAGUUCAAGACCAGCCUGGCCAAGACGGUGAAACCCUGUGUCUACAAAAAAAAAAAAAAAAAAAAAAAAAAGCUGGGUUCCUGUAAUCCCAGUUACUCGGGAGGCUGAGGCAUGAGAAUUGCUUGAACCUGGGAGGUGAAGGUUGUAGUGAGCCGAGGUUGCGCCACUGCACUCCAGCCUGGGCGACAGAACAAGACUCUGUCUCAAACAAACAAACAAACAAAUGAACCUGACAGUCUAAGAUUCUGUGAAUAAAAGAAACAGAGAGGGCAUUUAAGCCUGUCUUUCUGGUCAUAUUCUUCUACCCAACUCCUGCCUUAUAAUGGAGUAAAGGCUACAGGGCUCUUAUGACCCUUUAAUUGAGGACUCCGGAAAUGGCUGAAGCCUAGGAUUUGUCAGCCUGUGGGAAUAACACCCUAGCUCUGUGUGAUCUGGCUCUCUCAAAUGUCUGUACAGAUUCAAAGGAUCUUCUCUGAGAUUUGUGGGUGGUUUUAUCUCUUGAAGGCUGACUUCCACACCCUAUUCCCAUCCUAAAGCAAUGGAGUCCUUGGGAUGUUAGCACUCUUUAGUCGUUGGAAUUCACAGAAGACUUGAUAACAAAAUCUAGUCAUUUUCAACAACUUAACUUUAUUUCAUAAUUUUUGCCAUCAAUAUGUUUCACUAUAAAUAUAAUAAAAUUUUUGAAAUCACAUGUGUUUCCUUAAAAUGUAUGUUCUUUUAUAGUUAUAUCCAGUUUUGAAUUAUCGUUCUGCUAUUGAAUUAAAUUUGGUAGUUUUUAACAUACCUGUUGCUUUUUGUGGUGGUUACUAUCAGAUAAAUGCCUUUGUUUAUUACAUGUAUUCUAAAUAUUCUUCCAUUCAUAAACUAUGAUUCAUAUCCUUUUCUUUCCUAUUACUAUUGUUUUUUCUUCCCUGUUAAGGUAUAGAUAAAUUCCAACAUCAAACAAAAGCUUUUGGAACAACUCAGACAAUAUCUGUAGUGGUUCUGAAUCACGUCUAGAUGGGCCCUUCCACAUGUCUGUGGUAUAUGGCAAAAACAGUCUCCACAAACCUACAUGCUAUUCUCAUUGCUUGCAUUACAGGCUGCUUUCUUGAAAAGGCAAGGACAUACUAAUCAUGCUUCUAGAAUAAUAGCAUACAAUUAUAGGCCAGGGAACCUCUGGGAAUUUUUGGUCUGUGCCAGUUUAUAAAGGAACAGCCCAAGGUUUGACCUUCAUCACUGAGAUGACUCUACUGGAGAGUUUGUCAGUCACUGCAACAUCUGAUUUGAUUUUUGGUAGGUGUUUGAUACUAGGCCACAAAUUAGCACACCCUGUCAUUUAAAAAUUCUUGUUUAAAUUAUUGACUGAGACUUUUUUUUGUGUGCGUGUGUUACUGUAAUGAACUGAAAUUUCCCAUGGCAUGGCAUAAUAACUCUUUGUAAUAAACAUUUAAAGGGUAGAUACCUUUUGAAAUCCAUGUUGACGUCGAUUAAUUCAGAAGUCAAACUUGUUUUGCCCGUGCUGUCCAUCUGGUAUAUGUACAUAGACUUUUUCUAUUAUAUCAUUCAACUUCAUCAUUGCUUGUUUAAACACAAGCUAUUUUCCUCUUUUGUGUAUACAUUUCUGUUCCCCCAUAUAUAUAGACUUUUUAUAUUUCAGCUGGGCAGCAUUUACUUGCUCUUAAUGUCUCCCCAUAAUUUCCCUUCAGGUGUGGUACUGCAUGUGCUUUUUCAAAGCCUUGAUAAUUUAAAUGGCAGAAAUGCUAUUAUUAACUCCAUAUAAGGUGGUUAUGGGUUUGUCACUCAGGCCAUGUGUAACUUGAAUUUUUGUCUAAGCCUCAGAAAAACCUGUUUGUGAGGCCACUUUUCAGAAUUUCUUGGGCUUUUUGGAAAAUUGAACGUCUGUCUUGGAUAUUGGCUUGAGCUUAGAUAUGGCAAUUCCACCAGUGAUUAUUUCAGUGAUUGUGUGAAUUGUUAGAAUUAAGAUAAUUUGGUGUUAAUUGCAGUGAUUAUUUCAAGUUAUAAGAUUGUAAUCUAUUAUAAACGUGUUAAGGAUGGAAGGCACAAAACCCAACUAUUUUUCCAUAGUGAAUAAUCUUUUUUAAUGCCCAACUCAUAGGAAGCCUAGCUUCUGUUAUUGCUACUAGUCUUUUGUUGCAUGAAAGAUUUUUGUUUUUGCAUCAGAAUUUUGCCAUGAUAUUUCAGAGAGUAAGAAAAGAAAAAAAGAAAAGAAAGGUCAGGGUUCCAAGUCAGACUUAAUGUAGGAAAACUAGGCAUUCUAAUAUAGACUCAAACAUGAAAUAUGCCUGUGUUAUUCUUCAUCCUAAUUUAAGAGUUUAGUGAUAUUGCUUCCAUAUUCUGCAGUAAGAAAUAGUACAUUUGGAAACCAUCUCCUCCCAUAAAGUAAUUCAAAAAUAAAGUGAGAUUGUUUACAUGAAUAGAAAGUUGAUGAACUGUGAGAAUUGGGGCUUCCCUUGCUUACUCCAGCCAUGCAAUAGAAGGGAAAUGCUUUUAUAGUCAGAUUUCUGUUCACUGUUUUUCCUAACCAUAUCCUCCUUCACUGGCCAUAAAGGAGGAUAUAGCUGGAGAAAAAAAUCAGAGAAGAACAGUAUGUUUGAUUUGCAUAACAGAAAUACUUCAUAUUUUGCUUGGUAAGAAAUUAUUGCUUCUCUGUUAAUAUGAUGCUGGUGCUGAGGCAGCUCAACUGACUAUACCUGAAAUUCUUACCGAACAUUUUUAAGUAAUCGGGGACAGGUUAUUUGAUUUUGGGAUCUUCCUAGAUGUUUGUUUUUCUUCCUUCUGCUGUUUGCUUUUUUCCCUCAGUCCCUCUGCUGGAGGGGGACCUAACACAGGUGUGGGAUGAAACUGAGCAGGAGCCUUCUAGCUCAGUGUGUCUUGAAUUUCCUUUCCACUGUUCUUG
rnacentral:lncRNA from 1 species